GGAAUGUGCAGGGGUUUUAAAUACAACAAUUCAAAUGUCAAGCAUCUUACAUCGUACGAUUUUUACCGUUUGAUUUUUACCUCUGCGCUGUGCAUGGUUUGUAAGUAGGGCCUACUGGUGUAAUGCUAAUUAAGAUGUUUCUGUAUAAGGUCUGCAGAACUAAAUGUUCCCAUGUUAGACACGAUCUGUGUCAACUACCGUUUCUGUUUUGGACUUUUAGUUAUUUUUAUAUAUGCUUUAUAUAUGUACGUAUGUUAUUUUUUAUCUAUAUAUAUUUACCCUCUGUAUGUAGGUAUUUGUAUUCGUGUUUUAUUUACUAUAUAAGGGAAAGUUUGGCUGGAAUUUUAGAUUUAAAAAUGUAAAAACAAAAUUUAUUGAUGCUGUAAAACAAAC
rnacentral:lncRNA from 1 species